UUUAUCAUGAUUCGAAUAGUAAAUCUCAUUUCCCUCGUAGUAGUAGUAUCGAAAGGGUUAACCGCUACGGUUUCCUCCCCCCCUUUGCUGACGUAUUGGACGCCUUAGCAGCAAGGGUUCUGGGAGUCGUAGUUCUCUAGUAGUUUCCUGUGUUUAAUGGCUCCUCGCUAUUAAGCUGCAUGUAAGUCUCUCAGAGUCAUUUGUGAGGAAUUGGGUGAGUAAGCUGAAGCCCAGUUGUUGACCUCCAAGCAGUUUGUGGACAGCUUGGCAGGUGGCUUUUUACAAAAAAACACUGCAUUCUUACAUAUUUGCCCCGCAUUCUUUGUAACAUCCUAAGCUGAAGAUUACAGUGAUACAGAAUUAAAAUGAAUUGGAAGGCACUGGAAAAUUUUCCACUACUAAUGUACAUUUUAGCUGCUAAAACAUUAAUUCUUUGCUUAGCGUUUGCUGGGGUAAAAAUAUAUCAAAGGAAAAGACUUGAAGAGAAGCUGAAAAAGGAACAAAUAGAAAAGCAGAAAAGAGAAAUGGAGAAAAAAGAAAACUGAAGAUCUAAAGGAGUGUAAGUUCCCAGAGUCUAUGAUGUAAGAGGCAUCUAAAGUCUGAUAAACAAACCAACAAAUAAAUGCUAUAAGAAAAAUGAGAAUGGAUUUAAAUGGGCAUUUAGGAAGAGCACAAAAAGCAAGCAGCAAGUGAUAGCAGGGGAAAAGAAGGAGUGCUGGAGGUCCAACUGCAGAGAGACUUGACCUGAGCUGCUGAGCUGUCUUGGAGCACUGCUCUGCUUCCAGAUUUGAUAGGAGGUCUCUUGUCUCAAUAAA